UACGUAGGGGGCAAGCGUUGUCCGGAUUCAUCGGGCGUAAAGAGCGUGUAGGCGGCCAGGUAGGUCGGUUGUGAAAACUGGAGGCUCAACCUUCAGACGUCGACCGAAACCAUCUGGCUAGAGUCCGGGAGAGGAGAGUGGAAUUCCUGGUGUAGCGGUGAAAUGCGCAGAUAUCAGGAAGAACACCCGUGGCUAAGGCGGCUCGCUGGGCCAGUUCUGACACUCAUCCGCGAAAGCGUGGGGAGCGAACAGG
rnacentral:rRNA from 1 species